UACGAAGGGGGCUAGCGUUGUUCGGAAUUACUGGGCGUAAAGCGCGCGCAGGCGGCUAUCCAAGUCAGUGGUGAAAGCCCGGAGCUCAACUCCGGAACUGCCAUUGAAACUGUUUAGCUUGAGGACGAGAGAGGUGAGUGGAAUUCCCAGUGUAGAGGUGAAAUUCGUAGCUAUUGGGAAGAACACCGGUGGCGAAGGCGGCUCACUGGUCCGGUACUGACGCUGAGGUGCGAAAGCGUGGGGAGCAAACAGG
rnacentral:rRNA from 1 species